rnacentral:rRNA from 1 species
AGGGUUUGAUCAUGGCUCAGGAUGAACGCUGGCGGCGUGCUUAACACAUGCAAGUCGAACGAACCUUCGAGUUAGUGGCGGACGGGUGAGUAACGCGUGAGAAUCUGCCCUCAGGAGGGGGAUAACGGUUGGAAACGACCGCUAAUACCCCAUAUGCCUACUGGUGAAAUGAAUUUCGCCUGAGGAUGAGCUCGCGUCUGAUUAGCUAGUUGGUGAGGUAAUGGCUCACCAAGGCUUCGAUCAGUAGCUGGUCUGAGAGGAUGAUCAGCCACACUGGGACUGAGACACGGCCCAGACUCCUACGGGAGGCAGCAGUGGGGAAUUUUCCGCAAUGGGCGAAAGCCUGACGGAGCAACGCCGCGUGAGGGACGAAGGCCUCUGGGCUGUAAACCUCUUUUCUCAAGGAAGAAGAUAUGACGGUACUUGAGGAAUAAGCCACGGCUAAUUCCGUGCCAGCCGCCGCAGUAAUAC